rnacentral:misc_RNA from 1 species
GAUGAAGAACGUAGCGAAAUGCGAUACGUAGUGUGAAUUGCAGAAUUCAGUGAAUCAUCGAAUCUUUGAACGCACAUUGCGCCCGCCAGUAUUCUGGCGGGCAUGCCUGUCCGAGCGUCAUUUCAACCAUCAAGCCCCCGGGCUUGUGUUGGGGACCUGCGGCUGCCCGCAGGCCCUGAAAACCAGUGGCGGGCUCGCUGUCACACCGAGCGUAGUAGCAAUCACCUCGCUCAGGGCGUGCUGCGGGUUCCGGCCGUUAAACAGCCUUACAAAACCCAAGGUUGACCUCGGAUCAGGUAGGAAGACCCGCUGAACUUAAGCAUAUCAAUAAGCGGAGGA